rnacentral:tRNA from 1 species
UGGGGGGUCGUCUAACGGUAGGACAGCGGCCUUUGAAGCCGCGAAUGAAGGUCCGACUCCUUCCCCCCCAG